rnacentral:rRNA from 1 species
AUGCGUCGCAUUAGUUAGUUGGCGGUGUAACGGACCACCAAGACGACGAUGCGUAGGGGUUCUGAGAGGAAGGUCCCCCACACUGGUACUGAGACACGGACCAGACUCCUACGGGAGGCAGCAGUGAGGAAUAUUGGUCAAUGGGCGGGAGCCUGAACCAGCCAAGUCGCGUGAGGGAUGACGGCCCUAUGGGUUGUAAACCUCUUUUGCCGGGGAGCAAAGUGCCGCACGUGUGCGGUUUGGAGAGUACCCGGAGAAAAAGCAUCGGCUAACUCCGUGCCAGCAGCCGCGGUAAUACGGAGGAUGCGAGCGUUAUCCGGAUUUAUUGGGUUUAAAGGGUGCGUAGGCGGACGCUUAAGUCAGCGGUAAAAUUGCGGGGCUCAACCUCGUCGAGCCGUUGAAACUGGGUGCCUUGAGUGGGCGAGAAGUACGCGGAAUGCGUGGUGUAGCGGUGAAAUGCAUAGAUAUCACGCAGAACUCCGAUUGCGAAGGCAGCGUACCGGCGCCCAACUGACGCUGAAGCACGAAGGCGUGGGUAUCGAACAGGAUUAGAUACCCUGGUAGUCCACGCAGUAAACGAUGAAUGCUAGUUGUCCGGGGCGAUUGAGUUCUGG